UGCAAGUCGAACGAUGAACCUCCUUCGGGAGGGGAUUAGUGGCGAACGGGUGAGUAACACGUGGGCAAUCUGCCCUGCACUCUGGGACAAGCCCUGGAAACGGGGUCUAAUACCGGAUACGAGAACCUUGGGCAUCCUUGGUUCUGUAAAGCUCCGGCGGUGCAGGAUGAGCCCGCGGCCUAUCAGCUUGUUGGUGAGGUAAUGGCUCACCAAGGCGACGACGGGUAGCCGGCCUGAGAGGGCGACCGGCCACACUGGGACUGAGACACGGCCCAGACUCCUACGGGAGGCAGCAGUGGGGAAUAUUGCACAAUGGGCGAAAGCCUGAUGCAGCGACGCCGCGUGAGGGAUGACGGCCUUCGGGUUGUAAACCUCUUUCAGCAGGGAAGAAGCGAAAGUGACGGUACCUGCAGAAGAAGCGCCGGCUAACUACGUGCCAGCAGCCGCGGUAAUACGUAGGGCGCAAGCGUUGUCCGGAAUUAUUGGGCGUAAAGAGCUCGUAGGCGGCUUGUCGCGUCGGUUGUGAAAGCCCGGGGCUUAACCCCGGGUCUGCAGUCGAUACGGGCAGGCUAGAGUUCGGUAGGGGAGAUCGGAAUUCCUGGUGUAGCGGUGAAAUGCGCAGAUAUCAGGAGGAACACCGGUGGCGAAGGCGGAUCUCUGGGCCGAUACUGACGCUGAGGAGCGAAAGCGUGGGGAGCGA
rnacentral:rRNA from 1 species